rnacentral:rRNA from 1 species
CUACCAUGCAGUCGAACGAUGAAGCCCAGCUUGCUGGGUGGAUUAGUGGCGAACGGGUGAGUAACACGUGAGUAACCUGCCCUUAACUCUGGGAUAAGCCUGGGAAACUGGGUCUAAUACCGGAUAGGAGCGCCCACCGCAUGGUGGGUGUUGGAAAGAUUUAUCGGUUUUGGAUGGACUCGCGGCCUAU